rnacentral:rRNA from 1 species
CAACGAAGAGUUUGAUCCUGGCUCAGGACGAACGCUGGCGGCGUGCUUAACACAUGCAAGUCAGGGAGAAAUCCGGCUUCGGCCGGAGAGUAAACCGGCGGACGGGUGAGUAACACGUAGGCAACCUACCUUUGGGACCGGGAUAACCUUGCUAACGCGGGGCUAAUACCGGAUAAUGCAGCGGAUCCACAUGGAUAUGUUGUUAAAGCGGACUGACUUCGGUUGGUUCGUGCCUGAAGAUGGGCCUGCGUCCCAUUAGUUUGUUGGUGAGGUAACGGCUCACCAAGACUGCGAUGGGUAGCCGGCCUGAGAGGGUGACCGGCCACACUGGGACUGAGAUACGGCCCAGACUCCUACGGGAGGCAGCAGUGAGGAAUAUUGGGCAAUGGGCGAAAGCCUGACCCAGCAACGCCGCGU